GUUUGCUGCAAAGAGAGCUGGUAGCCACUAGAGGGGAGGAGACUGCCGGCUUUUCUGAGCGCUUCACGCUACAGCUAGAAGGUGCAGAAGCUGUCACAAGACUGGUUGCCCAACGAAAUGGUUUUUAAAAUUUUAUGAAGGUUGGACAAGCAUGAGAACUGGAACACCAGGGGAAAAAGGGUUUGAGAUGCUGACUACCUGCUGACUGCUGCCUUCAUCUGUCAGUCAGGAUGAGCCUACCCUGGUGAGAAGAUAUAAUGGAGAUAUUUCUGAGGAUGAUUUAUGGAGUCAACCAACAUCAUUCUAGAACAACUGAUACCUUUCCAGCAUAGGGCUACCCAGAUAGUUACUGUCUUAUGGUGUAUUAUAAUCUGCUAUCUUAAGGUAAUG